rnacentral:rRNA from 1 species
GAUGAACGCUGGCGGCGUGCUUAACACAUGCAAGUCGAGCGAGAAGUUUUGAAAAGAUUCUUCGGAUGAAAUUUAAAAUGGAAAGCGGCGGACGGGUGAGUAACGCGUAGGCAACCUGCCCCAUACAAAGGGAUAGCAUUUGGAAACGAAUAUUAAUACCUUAUGAAACUUAACUAGUGCAUGCUAGGUAGGUCAAAGAUUUAUCGGUAUGGGAUGGGCCUGCGUCUGAUUAGCUAGUUGGUGAGGUAACGGCUCACCAAGGCGACGAUCAGUAGCCGACCUGAGAGGGUGAACGGCCACAUUGGAACUGAGACACGGUCCAAGCUCCUACGGGAGGCAGCAGUGGGGAAUAUUGCACAAUGGGGGAAACCCUGAUGCAGCAACGCCGCGUGAACGAUGAAGGCCUUUGGGUCGUAAAGUUCUGUUCUAGGUGAUGAAAACUGACAGUAACCUAGGAGAAAGCCCCGGCUAACUCCGUG